CCUACGGGUGGCAGCAGUAGGGAAUCUUCCACAAUGGGCGAAAGCCUGAUGGAGCAACGCCGCGUGGGUGAAGAAGGUCUUCGGAUCGUAAAACCCUGUUGUUAGAGAAGAAAGUGCGUGAGAGUAACUGUUCACGUUUCGACGGUAUCUAACCAGAAAGCCACGGCUAACUACGUGCCAGCAGCCGCGGUAAUACGUAGGUGGCAAGCGUUAUCCGGAUUUAUUGGGCGUAAAGGGAACGGAGGCGGUCUUUUAAGUGUGAUGUGAACGCCUUCGGCUUAACCGGAGUAGUGCAUUGGAUACUGGUGGACUUGAGUGUAGAAGCGGAGGGUGGAACGCAAUGUGUAGCGGUGAAAUGCGUAGAGAUAAGGAAGAACACCAGUGGCGAAAGCAGCUUUCCGGUCUGUAACUGACGCUGAGGUUCGAAAGCGUGGGUAGCAAACAGGAUUAGAUACCCGUGUAGUC
rnacentral:rRNA from 1 species